GACGAACGCUGGCGGCGUGCUUAACACAUGCAAGUCGAACGGGCCCGCUCUCUUUUUUGGGGGUGGGUUGAGUGGCGAACGGGUGAGUAUCACGUGAGUAACCUGCCCCCUGCUCCUGGAUAACUGCUUGAAAGGGCGGCUAAUACGGGGUGUGCCGGCUGGUCCGCAUGGGCCUGGUCGGGAUAGUUUCAUCUUCGGGUGUUUCGGUGGGGGAUGGGCUCGCGGCCUAUCAGCUUGUUGGUGGGGUGAUGGCCCACCAGGGCGGUGACGGGUGGCCGGACUGGGAGGGUGGGCGGCCACACUGGGACGGAGACACGGCCCAGACUCCUGCGGGAGGCAGCAGUGGGGGGUAUUGCACAAUGGACGGAAGCCUGAUGCAGCGACGUCGCGUGAGGGAUGGAGGCCUUCGGGUUGUGAACCUCUUUCUCCGGUGGUGAAGGCCCUGUCCGUUGCGGCGGGGUUGACGGUAGCCGGGGAUGAAGCGCCGGCUAACUACGUG
rnacentral:rRNA from 1 species